GACGAACGCUGGCGGCGCGCCUAACACAUGCCAGUCGAACGGAGCUGAGAGAAGCUUGCUUUUCUUAGCUUAGUGGCGAACGGGUGAGUAACGCGUGAGUAACCUGCCCUGGAGUGGGGGACAACAGUUGGAAACGACUGCUAAUACCGCAUAAGCCCACGAUCCGGCAUCGGAUUGAGGGAAAAGGAUUUAUUCGCUUCAGGAUGGACUCGCGUCCAAUUAGCUAGUUGGUAAGGUAACGGCCCACCAAGGCGACGAUUGGUAGCCGGACUGAGGGGUUGAACGGCCACAUUGGGACUGAGACACGGCCCAGACUCCUACGGGAGGCAGCAGUGGGGGAUAUUGCACAAUGGGGGAAACCCUGAUGCAGCGACGCCGCGUGGAGGAAGAAGGUUUUCGGAUUGUAAACUCCUGUCGUUAGGGACGAUAAUGACGGUACCUAACAAGAAAGCACCGGCUAACUACGUG
rnacentral:rRNA from 1 species